rnacentral:rRNA from 1 species
AUUGAACGCUGGCGGCAGGCCUAACACAUGCAAGUCGAGCGGAUGACGGGAGCUUGCUCCUUGAUUCAGCGGCGGACGGGUGAGUAAUGCCUAGGAAUCUGCCUGGUAGUGGGGGACAACGUUUCGAAAGGAACGCUAAUACCGCAUACGUCCUACGGGAGAAAGCAGGGGACCUUCGGGCCUUGCGCUAUCAGAUGAGCCUAGGUCGGAUUAGCUAGUUGGUGGGGUAAUGGCUAACCAAGGCGACGAUCCGUAACUGGUCUGAGAGGAUGAUCAGUCACACUGGAACUGAGACACGGUCCAGACUCCUACGUGAGGCAGCAGUGGGGAAUAUUGGACAAUGGGCGAAAGCCUGAUCCAGCCAUGCCGCGUGUGUGAAGAAGGUCUUCGGAUUGUAAAGCACUUUAAGUUGGGAGGAAGGGCAGUAAGUUAAUACCUUGCUGUUUUGACGUUACCGACAGAAUAAGCACCGGCUAACUCUGUGCCAGCCGCCGCCGUAAUAC